AAACUUACCUGGCGCAAAGGUCUACCGUGAUCAGGAAGGCUGUUCCUUCAGGGCGAGGCUCAUCCAUUGCACUUUGGUUGGGCUGACCCUUGCGAUUGCUCCAAUUUGGGCACUCGUGCGUACAAUUUUUGAGUGUUGGGACUUGCGUUCGCGCAGUCCCAGA
rnacentral:snRNA from 1 species